UAACGCGUGGGAAUCUGGCCUGAAGUGGGGGAUAACCGAGGGAAACCUCGGCUAAUACCGCAUAAGGCCUGAGGGCGAAAGAUUUAUCGCUCUAGGAGGGGCCCGCGUCGGAUUAGCUUGUUGGUGGGGUAACGGCCUACCAAGGCGAUGAUCCGUAGCUGGUCUGAGAGGAUGAUCAGCCACACUGGGACUGAGACACGGCCCAGACUCCUACGGGAGGCAGCAGUGGGGAAUAUUGGACAAUGGGCGCAAGCCUGAUCCAGCAAUGCCGCGUGAGUGAUGAAGGCCUUAGGGUUGU
rnacentral:rRNA from 1 species